UACGGAGGGGGCAAGCGUUGUUCGGAAUUACUGGGCGUAAAGCGUGCGUAGACGGUUAUUUAAGUCGGGUGUGAAAGCCCCGGGCUCAACCUGGGAAUUGCAUUCGAGACUGAAUAGCUAGGGUACGGUAGAGGGAAGUGGAAUUUCCGGUGUAGCGGUGAAAUGCGUAGAUAUCAGGAGGAACACCGGUGGCGAAGGCGGGUCUCUGGGCCGAUACUGACGCUGAGGAGCGAAAGCGUGGGGGAGCGAACAGG
rnacentral:rRNA from 1 species